AGAGUUGAUCCUGGCUCAGAACGAACGUUGGCGGCAUGGAUUAGGCAUGCAAGUCGAACGAAUGCCAUUUGGGAAACUGGAUGGCGGAAGUGGCGAAAGGGGCAGUAAUACAUGGACAACCUACCCUGGGGUUGGGCAUAGCCGUUCUAACGAGCGGGUAAUUCCCAGCGAGUCGGCGUGGUGGCAUCAUCGUGCCGGGAAAGAAUUUCGCCUCGGGAGGGGUUCAUGAGCUAUCAGCUAGUUGGCGGGGUAACGGCCCACCAAGGCGUAGACGGCUAGCGGGUGUGAGAGCACGACCCGCGCCACUGGCACUGAGACACUGGCCAGACACCUACGGGUGGCUGCAGUCGAGGAUCUUCGUCAAUGGGCGCAAGCCUGAACGAGCGAUGCCGCGUGAGCGAUGAAGGCCUUCGGGUUGUAAAGCUCAAAAGAAGCGAGAAAGGGAAACUUGAUCAAGCUUCAGUAAGCUCGGGCUAAGUUCGUGCCAGCAGCCGCGGUAAGACGAACCGAGCGAACGUUGUUCGGAAUCACUGGGCUUAAAGGGCGCGUAGGCGGAUUUGCAAGUCCGGGGUGAAAUCCCACAGCUCAACUGUGGAACUGCCUCGGAUACUGUGAGUCUCGAGGGUGGCAGGGGUAUGCGGAACUAUCGGUGGAGCGGUGAAAUGCGUUGAUAUCGAUAGGAACUCCGGUGGCGAAGGCGGCAUACUGGUCCACUUCUGACGCUGAGGCGCGAAAGCCAGGGGAGCAAACGGGAUUAGAUACCCCGGUAGUCCUGGCCCUAAACGAUGGGAACUAGCUAGUAGGCUUCACAUGGGUUUACUGGCGAAGCAAAAGUGCUAAGUUCCCCGCCUGGGGAGUAUGGUCGCAAGGCUGAAACUCAAAGGAAUUGACGG
rnacentral:rRNA from 1 species